rnacentral:rRNA from 1 species
GAUGAACGCUAGCGGCAGGCCUAACACAUGCAAGUCAGGGGUAACAUAGGAAAGCUUGCUUUUCUGAUGACGACCGGCGCACGGGUGCGUAACGCGUAUACAACUACCCUUUAGUGGGGAAUAGCCCAGGGAAACUUGGAUUAAUGCCCCAUAGUAUAUAGACUUCUCCUGAAGUUUAUAUUAAACAUUUAUGGCUAUUAGAUGGGUAUGCGUCCUAUUAGUUAGUUGGUAAGGUAACGGCUUACCAAGGCAGCGAUAGGUAGGGGUCCUGAGAGGGAGAUCCCCACACUGGUACUGAGACACGGACCAGACUCCUACGGGAGGCAGCAGUGAGGAAUAUUGGACAAUGGGCGAGAGCCUGAUCCAGCCAUGCCGCGUGCAGGAAGACUGCCCUAUGGGUUGUAAACUGCUUUUACAGAGGAAGAACCACCCCCACGUGUGGGGGUUUGACGGUACUCUGCGAAUAAGGAUCGGCUAACUCCGUG